AUCUCCAACCAUAGUUUUGUUUAAGCAUCAAUACGCUUCCGAUCUUUGAUGUUAAGUAAGGGAGCGCGUAGUUAUUACCAGAGUGGGAGACCACAAAGGAAUCCUGGAUGUUGUAGGGU
rfam:Cryptococcus depauperatus CBS 7841 supercont1.39, whole genome shotgun sequence.